UACGAAGGGGGCUAGCGUUGCUCGGAAUCACUGGGCGUAAAGCGCACGUAGGCGGAUUUCUAAGUCAGGGGUGAAAUCCUGGAGCUCAACUCCAGAACUGCCUUUGAUACUGAGGAUCUUGAGUACGGGAGAGGUGAGUGGAACUGCGAGUGUAGAGGUGAAAUUCGUAGAUAUUCGCAAGAACACCAGUGGCGAAGGCGGCUCACUGGCCCGUAACUGACGCUGAGGCACGAAAGCGUGGGGAGCAAACAGG
rnacentral:rRNA from 1 species